GACGAAGGGGGCUAGCGUUGUUCGGAAUUACUGGGCGUAAAGAGCGCGUAGGCGGCACGGUACGACCGGUGUGAAAGCCCCCGGCUCAACUGGGGAGGGUCACCGGUAACGGCCGAGCUACGAGUGCAGGAGAGGGAAGUGGAACUCCGGGAGUAGCGGUGAAAUGCGUAGAGACCCGGAGGAACACCAGUGGCGAAGGCGGCCCGCUGGGCAGUGGCUGACGCUGAGGCGCGACAGCGUGGGGAGCAAACAGG
rnacentral:rRNA from 1 species